rnacentral:lncRNA from 1 species
AAAAAAGCUUAUAUUCAUUAUUUCCUAUGAUUUUCUUCACUAUCUUCCCACUAUUUCUUAUUUCUCUUUUCUUCAUCAUCAAAUAUUGGUAUGUCAACAAUUCUUCUGUCACACAAAAAACCACACUAGCUUCACCUCCAAGAUUACCUAUACUUGGUAAUCUCCAUCAACUUGGCAUAUUGCCUCAAAGGUCACUCCAAAAUUUAUCACACAAAUAUGGUCCUUUAAUGCUUCUUUAUUUUGGGAAGUUUCCAGUACUUGUGGUUUCCUCUGCUGAUGCAGCAAGAAAAAUAAUGAAAACUCAUGAUUUGGUUUUCUCUGAUAGGCCACAUAGUAAAAUGUUUGAUAUCCUUUUUUAUGGUUCUAAAGAUGUGGCAACUUGUGCAUAUGGUGAGUAUUGGAGACAAAUAAGGAGUCUCAGUGUGAUACACCUUCUGAGUAGCAAAAGGGUUCGAUCUUAUCAUCAUGUAAGAGAAGAAGAAACUUUAAGAAUGAUGGAAUAUAUUAAGGAGAGUUGUUGUUCUUCUGCAUCACCGUUGAAUUUAACCGAGUUGUUGUCUACAAUUACUAAUGAUAUAAUAUGUAGGGUGACUUUUGGAAAAAGAUACCGUGAAGGAAGAGGGGUGAAAUUGCAGGAGGUGUUGUCUGAGUUUGAGGAGUUAUUGGGCACUGUAUUUAUUGGAGACUAUAUACCUUGGCUUGAUUGGUUGGGGAAAGUUAAUGGUUUGGAUAGAAGGGCAGAAAAAUGUGCCAAAUAUUUGGAUGAGUUCUUAGAACAAGUCAUUGAGGAGCACAUUAGUCAUAGAUUCAGGAAUGACACUGUUGAUAAUGAGGAGCAUAGUGAUUUUGUAGAUGUUUUGCUUUCAGUUCAAAAGACUGAUGCUAUUGACUUUCCAAUUGAUAGAACUUCCGUAAAAGCUGUGAUACCAGUAAGUAACUAUAUCAUUCAUUUAUAUUUUAUAUAUUUAGGUGUCUUCCUCUUCCCUUGUUUGCAUAAUAUCAUUCUAUAAUAGCAUAUGGUAGAUUUAGUGUUAUCUGGUUGAUCAUGUUUCUUAAUUUAUUGUCAUAUAGCAGAAGCAACUUAGUUAGACUAACUUGGUCAUAUUAAACUGAUACUUUAUUUCUAUGAUGAUAGGUUAUUAUGCUGAUAAUGUGGAUCCAAGAUAGGUUCUGUAAAUUAUGUUAUAGAAAAUAAGUGUUAACUUCUUCAAGAAUUUAAGCUACAUUCUAACUGUGAUAUAUAAUUUGUUGGAACAUUUUGUAAAAAUUCUUCUGUGCUACAAUCAAUUGUGGUUUUUGUAGAGCAACUGUCUUUCAGAGAAUUUGAACUUGUCCAUUGAGAGAUCACAAAGUCAAACUUUUACGAAUAAGCUGACAACUCAUGUACAUGUAGGACAUGUUUGCUGCAGGUACAGACACUACCUACGCAGUCCUAGAUUGGGCAAUGACAGAACUGUUAAGACACCAAACUGUGAUGCAUAAAUUGCAAGAUGAGGUCAGAACUCUGGUUGGCAACAAAACUCAUGUAACUGAAGAAGAUUUGGUUAACAUGAACUAUUUGAAGGCUGUGAUCAAAGAAACACUUCGCCUCCAUUUACCGGUUCCCUUAUUACUCCCUCGGAAAUCUAUGGAAGAUAUCAAGCUAGAUGGUUAUGACAUUGCAUCAGGGACACAGGUAAUAGUGAAUGCUUGGGCAAUUGCAAGAGACCCUUCAAGUUGGGAAGAACCUCUAGAGUUUAAACCAGAAAGGUUUAUGAAUAGUUCCAACGAUUUUAAGGGAUUGGACUUUGAAUAUAUCCCAUUUGGAGCAGGACGAAGGGGUUGUCCUGGAGUGAAGUUUGCUAUUGCUGUGGACGAAUUGGUUCUAGCAAACCUUGUUUACCAAUUUGAAUGGCAAUUGCCUGAUGGAGUAGCAGGAGAGAAUUUGGACAUGUCUGAGACUGGUGGCAUUACUUGUCAUAGAAAAUACCCUCUACUUGCAGUAGCUUCAAAAAUAUGACAAAAAUGAAUAAACAGUUACAUAGUCAAGAGGCCAAGACUGACAUUAUUAAAUAGUACGAAAAACUGAAAAUAGUUCGAAAUUGUAUUUUAAUUUUUUUUUAUUGUUAAUAACUAAUACAGUAUAACUGAACAAUGUCUAUUGAUGUUUGAACUUUGAACAAAUUUAGUUUUGAUGUACUCAUAAUAACUUCCAAAGAGAUCUCGUCAGUACAUGUUUGGGACCAUUUCUCUUGGAGCUUAGUGCAUGAGUUUAGGUGCCAUAUAAUGUAGUCGCAACCCAAUGAGUGGACAGAAGGAGAAGUGAUGGAUAGAUUAUAACAAAGGAUCUCACUUUUGAACUAGGGAUAAAGAGAGACCAGAUGUAAUAACGGUGAAGUACUUCAUGAAUAUAAAAGGAACAAGCAGAUCAACCCUUUUUCAAGUAAUUACUUACAUUUCUCAAUCAUAUAAGUUUAUAACACAAAUUACUUAAGAUACAUAAGCCCUAAUAAUUUCUUUUUCCUCAAUAUGAUUCUGCUGUCAUUAUAUUUUCUAAGUCUGAAAAACAUCAACAUAUCAUGAAAACAUAUAUUUUGCAUGUUAGAUUCAGGGUGAAACUGGUAGAGUCAAAGUCAUGAGUUGCCGUAAUUUUAAUAAAAAAAGCACCUCGAAGCUUUAACAAAACCACGGUACCAGCUGUAUUAACGGUUAAGUACUUCGAGCUUGUGCUGCUACCGUGAUUAGAAUCGAAGUGGUCUUGUGCUGCUAACAAUUUAAAGUGUUACGCCGCAGUCUAAAGAAAAAAGUGUUGCAAUAGAUAAAUUAAAAACUCGAAAAGGGCAGCAAUUACACAAUAAUAGUAGUCAAGCCUAAUGUGAUUUAAACCAUGACCACCAAACCAUGGUGUUUUUCUUUCUGUGAUGUUACUUUAUGAACGAUAUUAUAUGAAGGAACCAAUGUUUUUAAGCCUAUUGUGAUUUAAAUCAUGACCACCUAACUAGUGAGUGCUACAAUAAGUGGAAUGGUAAAAUUGAAUUACCACCAAUUAUAGAAGCUCUCAAAUUCCCCUUCCAUUAUCUGCGUGGGUGUCAAAUUGAUCAGCAACAAAAGCAAUGUUGCAAGGCUGCAGACUGAUCAACAUCAAGCUCUUAGAACUCCUUAUUGUAGAGACCCUGAAACUAUACAGCCAUUUAUUGGUAAAAAAUGUUAUGCAGUACAUUCUGAAGAAUGAAAAAGCAACUAUGACGCUCGGUACCACCAAGUAACCACAUGCUCGGUCAUGAAAUUUAACACACAAGACUUUUCAGGAAAAGCUAUCUAUUUCCAUUUGGAUUUAGCUAACCAGACAUGCAGUUUUUCUUCAGUUCCAACAAUGAUAUAAAGGAGAAUAGAUUACCAAUUCCAUAAUAUAAAGAACUUCCAUUGGGACAGACAUUAAAAGACAUAUGAUAUAAGAAAUAGUUGCAGUCCUAAUGCGACAAUGAUCAUCAACCGAUUAUUCGAAAGAAGCCAAUGUGUUUUUUUUUCUUCUUCUAAAUGAUGCCUCCUUUAUGCUAUAUAUAUAAUAUUGAACAAUUGGGUCUUUCAUUUAUUUAUAGUCUUUAAGAUAUGUGAAAUAAGUAAACCAAUCACUCGUCGCAGAACCAAAAAGUAAUUCACUUCAAAGUGUACAUCAUUAACAAAAUUUGACUAUAAUCACGAUGAAAUAGUUGUUUGGAAGUUAGGAGAAAACUGAAAUGAAGGAUUAUGAAAGAAAAAGGAAGAAGCGAUAAUAGUCACGCUAGGUACCUUGCACUGCAAAUAUAUUGAUUUUUCUUUAGGACUAAAACUUCUAAUUUGGUGUCUAGGGCUUUAGAUGAUUUUAGAAGAAAAGUAAUAACCGAAUCCUUUCUCUUAUUGGACAGUAUUUACAAUACUCAAUACAAACAAAUUCACUGGAAUCUCUCUCCAUUUUCCUAUCCUAUCAUGAAUUCAAAACAAAUUCCAGUAGUUACACUUGUCCACAAAUGAAAUGAGAAAGGGUUCCUAAUUAACAGUUUCUAGAAUUAGAUAGAAAUUUAUGUUGAAAACAAACUAUAUACACACACAAACCUUUUCUCCUGAUCUCUCAUAUCAUUAUCCUAUGCUUUGAUUUUCACCUUAUCAAAAUACAAUUCAUUAUCUUAUUAUAAUCAUUUAGUCACCAUAAUAUAUAUAGAGGAAGAUAAUACUGAACAGAAACAAAAAGCUUAAGCCAUGUCCACCUUUCUACAAAGUUCUCUUUCACAAGAAACCUUAUAUUCAUUAUUCCCUACGCUUUUCCUCACUAUCUUCCCACUAUUUCUUAUUUCUCUUUUCUUCAUAAUCAAACAUUGGUAUUUCAACAAUUUUUCGGUCACACGAAAAAACUCACCACCUUCACCUCCAAGAUUACCUCUACUUGGUAAUCUCCAUCAACUUGGCUUAUUAGCUCACCAUUCACUUCAAAAUUUGUCACGCAAAUAUGGCCCUUUAAUGCUUCUUUAUUUUGGGAAGGUUCCAGUACUUGUGGUUUCUUCUGCUGAUACAGC